rnacentral:rRNA from 1 species
UCAAGUUAUUAAGGGUGCAGGGCGGAUGCCUUGGCACUAGGAGCCGAUGAAGGACGUGAUAAGCUGCGAUAAGCUUCGGGGAGUUGCACGUAAACUUUGAUCCGAAGAUUUCCGAAUGAGGAAACUCACUUAGAGUAAUGUCUAAGUAUCAUUAAGUGAAUACAUAGCUUAAUGAGGGGAACUCAGGGAACUGAAACAUCUAAGUACCUGAAGGAAGAGAAAGAAAUUCGAUUCCGUAAGUAGCGGCGAGCGAACGCGGAUUAGCCCAAACCAAUAAAGUUUUCUUUAUUGGGGUUGCGGACAUAUCAUAACGAAGAGGUAUCGUAAUUGAAGAGGUUUGGAAAGACCCACCACAGAAGGUAAUAGUCCUGUAUGUUAAACGAGAAGACUUUAGAUAUGAUCCAGAGUACCACGGGACACGUGAAACCCUGUGGGAAGCAGGAGGGACCACCCUCCAAGGCUAAAUACUACCUAGUGACCGAUAGCGUAUAGUACCGUGAGGGAAAGGUGAAAAGAACCCCGGGAGGGGAGUGAAAUAGAACCUGAAACCCUGCACUUACAAGCUGUGGAAGCACAUUUCUUGUGUGACCGCGUACUUUUUGUAGAACGGGCCAACGAGUUACGUUAAGUAGCAAGGUUAAGCACUUAAGGUGCGGAGCCGUAGCGAAAGCGAGUUUUAACUGAGCGUUCAGUUACUUGACGUAGACCCGAAACCGGGCGACCUACCCAUGAGCAGGAUGAAGCGAAAGUAAAAUUUCGUGGAGGUCCGAACCCACGAGCGUUGAAAAGCUCGGGGAUGACUUGUGGGUAGCGGUGAAAUUCCAAUCGAGCCCGGAGAUAGCUGGUUCUCCCCGAAAUAGCUUUAGGGCUAGCCUCAAGGUGAGAGAUACGGAGGUAGAGCACUGAAUGUCCUAGGGGGUAUUGCACCUACCGAAGACUAUCAAACUCCGAAUGCCGUCAUCUUAUACUUGGGAGUCAGACUGUGGGUGAUAAGAUUCAUAGUCGAAAGGGCAACAGCCCAGAUCGUCAGCUAAGGUCCCUAAAUGUAAGUUAAGUGGUAAAGGAUGUGGGAUUGCACAGACAACCAGGAUGUUGGCUUAGAAGCAGCCACUCAUUCAAAGAGUGCGUAAUAGCUCACUGGUCGAGUGAUCCUGCGCCGAAGAUUUCCGGGGCUAAAACUUACUACCGAAGCUACGGCAUCAUUAUGAUGGGUAGGGGAGCUUCCCAUACGGGUUGAAGCAUGACCGUAAGGACAUGUGGACAGUAUGGGAGUGAGAAUGUUGGCAUGAGUAGCGAGAUGUGGGUGAGAAUCCCACAGGCCGUAAACCCAAGGUUUCCAGGGGAAGGUUCGUCCGCCCUGGGUUAGUCGGGACCUAAGCUGAGGCCGAAAGGCGUAGGUGAUGGACAACAGGUUGAUAUUCCUGUACUACCGAUAACCGUUUGAGAGAAGGGAUGACACAGUAGGAUAAGCUAAGCACACUGUUGGUUAUGUGUGCCCAAGCAUUGAGGCAGUCAAAGUAGGCAAAUCCGCUUUGAUAAUGCUGGGAUGUGAUGGGGAGCGAAAUUUAGUAGCGAAGUAGCUGAUUUCACACUGUCAAGAAAAGUCUCUAUCGAGGUUAAAGGUACCCGUACCGCAAACCGACACAGGUGGGUGAGGAGAGUAUCCUAAGGCCAGCGAGAGAACUGUUGUUAAGGAACUCGGCAAAAUGACCCCGUAACUUAGGGAUAAGGGGUGCCACCAUCAGGUGGCCGCAGAGAAUAGGCCCAAGCGACUGUUUACCAAAAACAUAGGUUUCUGCUAAGUCGCAAGACGAUGUAUAGGAGCUGACGCCUGCCCGGUGCUGGAAGGUUAAGGGGAUCUGUUAGAGCAAUCGAAGCAGUGAACUUAAGCCCCAGUAAACGGCGGCCGUAACUAUAACGGUCCUAAGGUAGCGAAAUUCCUUGUCGGGUAAGUUCCGACCCGCACGAAAGGCGUAACGAUUUGGGCACUGUCUCAACAACAGACUCGGUGAAAUUGUAAUUCCGGUGAAGAUGCCGGAUACCUGCGACAGGACGGAAAGACCCCAUGGAGCUUUACUGUAGCUUGACAUUGGGUCUUGGUACUACAUGUACAGGAUAGGUGGGAGGCUUUGAAACCAGGACGCCAGUUUUGGCGGAGCCAUCCUUGGGAUACCACCCUUGUAGUACUGGGACUCUAACCAUAGGCCAUGAAUCUGGUCUUGGGACACUGUCAGGUGGGCAGUUUGACUGGGGCGGUCGCCUCCCAAAAGGUAACGGAGGCGCUCAAAGGUUCUCUCAGUACGGUCGGAAAUCGUACGUAGAGUGUAAAGGCAAAAGAGAGCUUGAUUGCAAGACAUACAGGUCGAGCAAGGAUGAAAAUCGGACUUAGUGAUCCGGUGGUUCUGCGUGGAAGGGCCAUCGCUCAACGGAUAAAAGCUACCCUGGGGAUAACAGGCUUAUCUCCCCCAAGAGUCCACAUCGACGGGGAGGUUUGGCACCUCGAUGUCGGCUCAUCACAUCCUGGGGCUGUAGUAGGUCCCAAGGGUUGGGCUGUUCGCCCAUUAAAGUGGUACGCGAGCUGGGUUCAGAACGUCGUGAGACAGUUCGGUCCCUAUCCGUCGCAGGCGUAGGAAAUUUGAGAAGACCUGUCCUUAGUACGAGAGGACCGGGAUGGACGUACCUCUGGUGUACCAGUUGUUCUGCCAAGGGCAUGGCUGGGUAGCUAUGUACGGAAUGGAUAAGCGCUGAAAGCAUCUAAGCGCGAAGCCAACUUCAAGAUAAGAUUUCCCACCGCAAGGGUAAGACCCCAGAAAGACUAUCUGGUUGAUAGGUCGAAGGUGUAAGUGCAGCAAUGUAUUUAGCUUAUCGAUACUAAUAGGUCGAGGACUUGACCAA